rnacentral:rRNA from 1 species
AUAAACGCUGGGCGGCGUGCCUAACACAUGCAAGUCGAACGUCCUGCACUUCGGUGCAGGGAGUGGCGGACGGGUGAGGAAACACAUGGGUAUCUGCCUUCUAGUGAGGAAUACCGGCGAGAAAUCGCCGACAAGACCGCAUAGCUUUUCUCGGAAAGGGAAAGAAAAGCUCGCAAGGGCGCUAGAAGAUGAGCCUGUGGCCGAUUAGUUAGCUGGUGAGGUAAUGGCUCACCAGGACCACGAUCGGUAGCUGGUCUGAGAGGACGAUCAGCCACACUGGGGAUUGAGAACGGCCCAGACUCCUACGGGGGGCAGCAGUGAGGAAUUUUCGUCAAUGGGGGCAACCCUGAACGAGCAAACGCCGCGUGCAGGAAGACGCUUCUCGGAGUGUAAACUGCUUUUCUCUGGGACGAGCAAGGACGGUACCAGAGGAAGAAGCCCCCGGCUAAACUACGUGCCAGCAGCCGCGGUAAUACGUAGGGGGCAAGCGUUGUCCGGAUUUAUUGGGGCGUAAAGCGUCCGCAGGCGGUCAACCAAGUUUUCGGGUGGACAGUUUCCCGGCUCAACUGGGGAAGUGCUCGAAAAACUGGCUGACUUGAGGGCUUGAGAGGAAAGCGGGAAACUCCGGGUGGAGUGGUGAAAUGCGUAGAUAUCCGGAAGAACACCGAUGGCGUAGGCAGCUUUCUGGGCAAGCCACUGACGCUCAUGGACGAAGGCCAGGGGAGGCAAACGGGAUUAGAUACCCCGGUAGUCCUGGCCGUAAACGAUGACCACUAGACGUGGGAGGGUAUCGACCCCUUCCGUGUCGUCGCCAACGCAAUAAGUGGUCCGCCUGGGGAGUACGGUCGCAAGAUUAAAACUCAAAGGAAUUGACGGGGACCCGCACAAGCAGCGGAGCGUGUGGUUUAAUUCGAUGCAACGCGAAGCACCUUACCAGGGUUUGGACAUGUAGUCGCACCGCUCGUAACGGGAGCGUGCCCGCAAGGGGACGGCUGCACAGGUUGCUGCAUGGCUGUCGUCAGCUCGUGUCGUGAGAUGUUGGGUUCAGUCCCGCAACGAGCGCAACCCCUAUCGUUGGUUUAUACGUGUCCAGUGAGACUGCUCUUUUAAGGGAGAGGAAGGCGGGGAUGACGUCAAGUCAGCACGGCCCUUACACCCUUGGGCGACAACACACGCUACAAUGGCCGGUACAACGGGACGCCAACCCGCGAGGGGGAGCCAAUCCCAGCAAAAACCGGUCCUCAGUUCGGAUUGGAGGCUGCAACCCGCCUCCAUGAAGUGGGAGUUGCUAGUAACCGUGGGUCAGCACACCACGGUGAAUACGUUCCCGGGUCUUGUACACACCGCCCGUCACACCACGAAAGUCGGCAACACCUGAAGCCGCCAGGCUAACCCACUGGGAGGCAAGCGUCGAGGGUGGGGGUCGGUGAUUGGGGGU